UCAAAGCUACUAAGGGCUCACGGUGGAUGCCUUGGUGCUAGGCGGCGACGAAGGGCGUGACAGACUGCGAUAAGCUUCGGGUAGUUGUUUAUAUGCUUUGAUCCGAAGAUCCCCGAAUCGGGCAACCGGGUAAGUAUUAUUACUUACCGUCUGUACGGUAACAGUACAGACGCCAACCAGGAGAAGUGAAACAUCUCAGUACCCUGAGGAAGAGAAAGAAAAAUCGAUUUCCUGAGUAGCGGCGAGCGAAACGGAAACAGCCUAAACCAGAUGUACACGUAUGUCUGGGGUUGUGGGACCCUCACAAAAGAUAACAGUUUUUUAACUUAACGUCCCUGGGAUAGGGCGACCAGAGAAGGUUACAGUCCUGUGAGUAAAAAGAAACUUGUGUCUUGAGGGGAUCCCGAGUACCACGCGGAUAGACUAAACCUGUGGGAAUCCAGGAGGACCACCUCCUAAGGCUAAAUACGUCCUAGCAACCGAUAGUGAACAAGUACUGUGAAGGAAAGGUGAAAAGUUCCCCUGUUAGGGAAGUGAAAUAGAACCUGAAACCGUGAGCUUACAAGCUGUGGAAGUGCGAGAUCGGGCAACCGAUGUGCAUGACCGCGUGCCUUUUGCAUAAUGAGCCGGUGACUUACUUUGCGUAGCAAGAUUAAGCUUUUUUGAAGCGUAGUCGUAGCGAAAGCGAGUCUGAAUAGGGCGAUAAGUUGCGUUGAG
rnacentral:rRNA from 1 species